GACGAACGCUGGCGGCGUGCUUAACACAUGCAAGUCGAACGGAAAGGCCCUGCUUUUGUGGGGUGCUCGAGUGGCGAACGGGUGAGUAACACGUGAGUAACCUGCCCUUGACUUUGGGAUAACUUCAGGAAACUGGGGCUAAUACCGGAUAGGAGCUCCUGCUGCAUGGUGGGGGUUGGAAAGUUUCGGCGGUUGGGGAUGGACUCGCGGCUUAUCAGCUUGUUGGUGGGGUAGUGGCUUACCAAGGCUUUGACGGGUAGCCGGCCUGAGAGGGUGACCGGCCACAUUGGGACUGAGAUACGGCCCAGACUCCUACGGGAGGCAGCAGUGGGGAAUAUUGCACAAUGGGCGGAAGCCAGAUGCAGCAACGCCGCGUGCGGGAUGACGGCCUUCGGGUUGUAAACCGCUUUCGCCUGUGACGAAGCGUGAGUGACGGUAAUGGGUAAAGAAGCACCGGCUAACUACGUG
rnacentral:rRNA from 1 species